rnacentral:rRNA from 1 species
UAGCAUAUCAAUAAGCGGAGGAAAAGAAACCAACAGGGAUUGCCCUAGUAACGGCGAGUGAAGCGGCAACAGCUCAAAUUUGAAAUCUGGCUCUUUUAGGGUCCGAGUUGUAAUUUGCAGAGGGUGCUUUGGCAAAGGUUGUGGUCUAAGUUCCUUGGAACAGGACGUCACAGAGGGUGAGAAUCCCGUACGUGGCCGCCAACCCGCGCUAUGUAAAGCCCCUUCGACGAGUCGAGUUGUUUGGGAAUGCAGCUCUAAAUGGGAGGUAAAUUUCUUCUAAAGCUAAAUAUUGGCCAGAGACCGAUAGCGCACAAGUAGAGUGAUCGAAAGAUGAAAAGCACUUUGGAAAGAGAGUCAAAAAGCACGUGAAAUUGUUGAAAGGGAAGCGCUUGCAGCCAGACUUGCCCGUAGUUGCUCAUCCGGGCUCUUGCCCGGUGCACUCUUCUAUGGGCAGGCCAGCAUCAGUCUUGGCGGUCGGAUAAAUGCGUGCUAAACGUACCUCUCUUCGGGGAGGACUUAUAGGGCACGCGGCAUACGACCAGCCGGGACUGAGGUCCGCGCAUCUGCUAGGAUGCUGGCGUAAUGGCUGUAAGCGGCCCGUCUUGAAACACGGACCAAGGAGUCUAACAUCUAUGCGAGUGUUUGGGUGUCAAGCCCGAGCGCGUAAUGAAAGUGAACGGAGGUGGGAACCCCUCGGGGUGCACCAUCGACCGAUCCUGAUGUCUUCGGAUGGAUUUGAGUAAGAGCAUAGCUGUUGGGACCCGAAAGAUGGUGAACUAUGCCUGAAUAGGGUGAAGCCAGAGGAAACUCUGGUGGAGGCUCGCAGCGGUUCUGACGUGCAAAUCGAUCGUCAAAUUUGGGCAUAGGGGCGAAAGACUAAUCGAACUAUCUAGUAGCUGGUUCCUGCCGAAGUUUCCCUCAGGAUAGCAGUAACGUUUUCAGUUUUAUGAGGUAAAGCGAAUGAUUAGAGGCCUGGGGGUUGAAACAACCUUCACCUAUUCUCAAACUUUAAAUAUGUAAGAAGUCCUUGUUACUUAAUUGAACGUGGACAUUUGAAUGUAUCGUUACUAGUGGGCCAUUUUUGGUAAGCAGAACUGGCGAUGCGGGAUGAACCGAACGCGGGGUUAAGGUGCCAGAAUGCACGCUCAUCAGACACCACAAAAGGUGUUAGUUCAUCUAGACAGCAGGACGGUGGCCAUGGAAGUCGGAAUCCGCUAAGGAGUGUGUAACAACUCACCUGCCGAAUGAACUAGCCCUGAAAAUGGAUGGCGCUCAAGCGUGCUACCCAUACCCCGCCGCCAGGGCAGAAAUUAUGCCCUGGCGAGUAGGCAGGCGUGGGGGCUUGUGACGAAGCCUUGGGGGUGACCCCGGGUAGAACAG